rnacentral:lncRNA from 1 species
GAACAAAAGAGAAAUGAAGAUGGAACUGAGCUGCACCGAUCUUCGCCUACCCAUCUUCAGUUGUCGUUACGCCAAAUGAGAGAGAAGACUGAACUGUGAACAAAUUAGAAGCUUUUCUUAUGCACAAAAAACGAUUUCCUAUUUCCAGGUUCUCCCUUCAUAAUUCCGCCCCUUUAAUUUCCUUUUCCCCCAAAAUUUUCCUUUUUCAAAUUAUUACACUUUCUAUUAUUUUAUUAUUAUAUUCAAAAACAAUUUUAACUACUCAAAUCUUAAAACUUUAAUAUAUUAUGUUCUGUCAUCAUGCGAACGUUUUUCAACGAUAUUUGUAAUAUUUAAAACUAAUAAAAUAUACAAAUCAAAUUUACAUCUUAAACUUCGCAUUCUAACAAAUAUUGUCAUAUGAGAUAAAGCUGGGAGAGUAUUAGCUCAUUUUACAAGGGGUUUGACCCUUUAAUUGUUUCACCAAAAUCACUUGUGUUUCUUUGAUUAACAAUACAUCCCCAAAGUCAACAAACAUAAAAAGGGAGUUAGAAUGAAUAAAUGAGAUACGUCACUUAUUUUUAUGUGAAAUUUUGAGUACCAAGAAACAAUGGAGUGUAACAUUUGCAUUAUUCAAAUCAAGACAAUAUAUAUAGAAAGAUAUAUAUAGGUGGGAAUAACCAAACUGAUGUGGCAUGUCUCAUAUGCAAGAAUUCUCAUUUAUCUUGAUUCUCCUUUUUUUGCUUUAAAAAAAACCUUCUUACCACUUUUUAUUACUAAUUUAUUACAAUUAAUACAAUCAAUACUAAUUCUACCAUAAUCAUCCAAUGUACGUUACUAUUUCUAUUCAUAUUACUGAAUGUAAGUUACAAAUUGUAAUGGUCACUAUAAAUACUAAAGCACAUCUUCUCCAAUACAUACCUUUCUUCUUUUUUUCUCAUUAAUCUUUCUUUUACUUUUCAUUCAAACUCUUUAUAAAGAAAGAAUUUAUUUUUCUUGUACCUUUUGAUUAGAGAAUGAUGGUGGGAGAGUGAGAACAAGAAAAGCAGUAAGAGAGAAACUGUUUUGUGGAAUUUUCUAUUUUUCAUGAUAUUAGUAGGAAUGGAAAGGGGAGUUGAUUUGCUUCUUUAAGGAAGGAUGAUAGUUUUUAAUUUUCUGGAGGGAUUGAAAGAUAUGAAUAUGAAAAGCAAAUUAUACCAGAAUAGAAAAAAAUAUUCUGGUUUACUGAUAAAUGAUAAUAUAUUUUGUUUAAUAUUUUAGUAUCUAGAUUUUACUUUCAAGAUCAGAAUAUCCAUGUAUUAUGUUUUAUUUAUUUAUUUUGCAAUUUAUAGUAUUUAUUGAAUGUUGUUUUAUAAAAAUAGGUAAAACUUGCGAGGAAAAUGAUGAAUCGAGCAUUAAAGUGGCGGGCGGAAGGUUCUUGGCAUUCCAGCUGAAAUUUUUUCUUCCAUUACACUACAAAUUAUCACAAAAAUGUAACGUUUAACUUUCUUUGAAACAUGAUUUACUUUGUAUUUCCUUUUUUUCUAAAAAGAAUUAACGGGGAACUGCAAGGAUCCAUUCAUUUUUUAGACUUUGAUCUUUUAUUUAAUUGCUAAGACAGUAGAUUUCUCUGUCACCUUAUUGACUAA